rnacentral:misc_RNA from 1 species
GAUGAAGAACGCAGCGAAAUGCGAUAAUUAAUGUGAAUUGCAGAAUUCCGUGAAUCAUCGAGUCUUUGAACGCACAUUGCGCCUCAUGGCAUUCCGUGAGGCAUGCCCAUCUCAGCGUUAGAAAAUAUUCUCAAAUUUUAGUUUUGUGCUAAAAUUUGGAUCAUGUCAAGGAAGCUAUUACUAUUAUUGUGAUCGCUCUUUGGAAAUUGAUAGGUCUUUGAGUUGCUACUCAUAGAACGUGAUGAAUCUUUCUUCGUUCUAUUGUAAUUCACUCUGGUAGUCCUAAAACUUGUAUGCCUGUGGCAUAUCUUGUAAUUUGACCUGAGAUUGGGUAGGGAUACCCGCUGAACUUAAGCAUAUCAAUAAGCGGAAGA